rnacentral:rRNA from 1 species
UGGGGAAUAUUGGACAAUGGGGGCAACCCUGAUCCAGCAAUGCCGCGUGUGUGAAGAAGGCCUUAGGGUUGUAAAGCACUUUCAGUGGGGAGAAAGUUUUGUGUGCUAAUACCAUGCAAAGUUGAUGUUACCCACAGAAGAAGCACCGGCUAACUCUGUGCCAGCAGCCGCGGUAAUACAGAGGGUGCGAGCGUUAAUCGGAAUUACUGGGCGUAAAGGGUGUGUAGGUGGUUGCGUAAGUUAGAUGUGAAAGCCCCGGGCUCAACCUGGGAAUUGCGUUUAAAACUGCGGAGCUAGAGUAUUGUAGAGGAUAGUGGAAUUUCCAGUGUAGCGGUGAAAUGCGUAGAUAUUGGAAGGAACACCAGUGGCGAAGGCGACUAUCUGGGCAAAUACUGACACUGAGACACGAGAGCAUGGGGAGCAAACAGG